UCCAGUUGAAUUUUCAUUACAUGUAUGAUUGUAAAUUUUAGUGUUGGGCGUUCUGUUCCAUGAUUAUAUUUUAACUUGGAUUUUAAGUAGGAUGGAGAGUACCCUCCUGAAGAAAUUAAGCUUAUGGGGUUGCUCUGUGUUCAGUACCCUCUUGAAUCUUUUGUUUGUUUGGUUUCUUUUCUUUUCCUUGGUUUCUUUUCAGCAACAGGUUUGAUACAGCUGGUCCCAACCUGAUGAUGGGAUGCUUAGUUGGGUAAUUUCUGAGGGUGGACAGCAGGAGAAAGGGCAAGGCUAACACAAAUAGGUGGAGAAUUGGAAACCUAAUCCCAGUCUUCUACUGAUUUGCAGGCCAAAACAGAAGGGAGCAAGAUUAAGAGGGCUGCAGCCUGUUGAUUUUUGUUUGUUUUUGCAGAGGUAAAGAAUUACCCCAUCCUGAUGAAGCUGCUAAGUAAUCAGCAGCUGAUGAUACAGCAAAAACAAGCAGCCUCAUAUACUACAGCCCAUCCUGAUUGAUUGCUAAGCAAUAAAUCACCAAGUAAUUUGAUUGCUACACAAGCAUAUUUAAUAUGUUUGAGUAUGAUCAAUAGUGCUGAGCUAGUUUCUCUUGUCAGUGCACCAAAAUAAUGUGAUAGUCAUAUUAACUUCAUUUGUGGAGCUAACAGAUCUCAUCAAUGCUUAACUUAGAUCAGAUUACCCCUGUAAUUCAUGAACAAUUACAGGCACAGAAGACUAAGUCACUGGAGCGCGCUAGAACUUGG